UACGUAGGGGGCGAGCGUUGUCCGGAAUCAUUGGGCGUAAAGAGCGUGUAGGCGGCCAGGUAGGUCUGGUGUGAAAACUCGAGGCUUAACCUCGAGAUGUCAUCGGAAACCAUCUGGCUAGAGUCCGGAAGAGGAGAGUGGAAUUCCUGGUGUAGCGGUGAAAUGCGCAGAUAUCAGGAAGAACACCAAUGGCGAAAGCAGCUCUCUGGGCCGGUACUGACGCUGAGGAGCGAAAGCAUGGGGAGCGAACAGG
rnacentral:rRNA from 1 species